GCCUUUUCUAUUUCUCAGUUAGUGUUUACUUUCACAUUAUUCUUUAAAUUUUGGGAUUGGAGUACUGAAAUUACAGCUACUGAUACCAAAAUCCUCUUAUGGUACAAUAAAGUCUUUGCUUUAUAUAUUCUUUGCUCCUGAGAUCCUGGAGUCCUCAUGUAAGCUCUGUCUUUGCUUUAUAUAUUCUUUGAUCAUAUGAUUCAUCUGAUUUGUGGAAUGUUUGUAUUUCAGAUUUGUGAUCUUGGUUUUUACUCGUACACGUUUUUUGUGAGCUUUAUAUUACAUUGUCUUGAAUAUAUUGUCAGGGGCACUGGAAACCUAUCCUACAUCAUUAGGACACAUCAAUCAGAUAAUCAUCCAGUCCAAGGUGGUAAAAUCUUUAUAUCUAGCUUCUAGCUGAAGAAGCUUGGGACGUUGAACGUUGUUUUGAGCUUUUGCUAUGGCUAACGACCUCUGGAGUGAAUACUCAAGUUUUCUCUCUUUGACUCGCAAGGUAAUAUGCUUAUUAGCGUUAUUAUAGGUACAUUGAGAUAGUAUAAUGUGUUGGUUGUUUAUUAAUGUGCUCAUUCAAUGCAUUUGCUCGAUAUCUCUAGGCUAUCUAUCAGAACUAUCUUUUCCUUUACUUGAUCUUAUUGAGUUUUAGACGUAUGAGAUAUGGUUCCCUUGAAAGAAUGCAAUCUACAAGUUUACAAUGGUACGUCAAAACUGUGUUAAGUUUCUUUCAUCAUUGAAGAAUUCAGAAUCUUGUUUCAACUUGGACUCAGCAAACACUUUUGGCAAUUGAAUCUCUUAUUUAUUCUAGGAAAAUUACAUUAUCAACUAUUUGUUCGUUCUUGAUAGGAACUUGAGGGUGAAUCUCUUGGCGCAGAAAAAAUGUUUCAGAGAACUUUUUCUUAUAGUUUGUGAUUCUCAUAUCUUUUUUUUUCAGUGAUGAAUCCAGAAACUAUUGAAGAGAGCUAUUCAUACAGACUAUAGAGCAGUCACCAUUGUUACAUCAGAGCAGUCACUAAUGUUGCAUCAGAGCAGUCACCAAUGUUGCAUGUUAAUUUUGUAGGAUCACAUUUGGUUGACAGUAACCAGAUUACAAAUGUACUCUGGUAUACAUACAGUUGGUUCGUGAUCAACAAUUG
rnacentral:lncRNA from 1 species